GCUUAGCUGCUCCAGUCUAAAGGAGAGGGAACCGGCUUCAGGUCCCAGAGGGCCGGAGAAACAGGAAUCCCAGGCGGGAAGGAGCCUUUCAGCCCCAGGCUGCUGGGGCUCCUGGCUACUGACCUUGUUUGGAUGCUGCUUCAGGGCAAAAUUAGAAAGUUAAUAAUACUUACAGUAAACGUGGAGCGUUAUUGUGAUAGUCCACUUUGCAUGAUCGUGACGAAAGGCCUGAAAUAAUCGGCUUAUAAGGAGGAAGGUUUAUUUUGGCUCCUGGUUUUCAAGGUUUCAGUUCAUGGCUAGUUGUUCCUGAUGCUUUGGGGCCUGUGGAGGGGGCCAUAGGAGAUGAUGGAGGAAACUGCUCACCUCCUGGCAGCCAGGAAGAAGAGACAGGAAGGAGCCAGGGUCUCAAUGUCCCCUUCAAGGCCACACUCCCAGUGAUCCCAGUGAUCAGUGAAAGAAUUCUUUUCUUUUUUUUUUUUUGGUAUUGGGGAUUGAACCCAGAGGCACUUAACUACUGAGCCACAUCCUCAGCCUCUUUUUUAUUUUUUUUUAAAUUGUAGUUGGACUCAAUCCUUUAUUUUAUUUAUUUAUUAAUUUUUUUGGUAGUUGUAGAUGGACAGAAUGCCUUUAUUUUAUUUGUUUAUUUUUAUGUGGUGCUGAGGAUGGAACCCAGGGCCUCAAGCGUGCUAUGCCAGUGCUCUACCGCUGAGCCACAAUCCCAGCCCUCCUCAACCCUUUUUAAUAUUUUAUUGAGAUAGGUUCUUACUGAGUUGCUUAGGCCCUCACUCAGCUGAGGCUGGCUUUGAACUCGCGAUCCUCCUGCCUCAGCCUCCUGAGCCACUGGGAUUACAGGCCUGCUCCACUGUACCCGACAACCUAACUUUUUUCCUGGGGGCUCUACCUCCUAGGGGUUCACCACCUCCUCAUAGCACCACAGGCUAAUCAAGCCUUUAACGCACGGACCUUUGGGGGUCAUUCACAAUCCAGUCUGUGACGGUUGUGGAACUUUAGCAACUCACAAACUUGGUGUCUGUUCUGGAGACUUUAGGAAUGUGUCAAAGAAGGGGAAGAGAUGCAGCGUGAAUGCCUGGUGGUAUUUGUAGAGGCUAAAGGAAUAAACGACAAGGAGGUCCUACCUGGAAGCCCCCACUUAGGAGGAUGGUGGGAUGACACUGGAUCCCAAGAGAAGGAAAGACCCAAGGCACGGGUCAAAUUCUUUUUGAUUUUUCCAUUCCUUCCCCCUCAGUUUUCAAAUCAUCUUGGCCUAUUGUCGUGUAGGGGAGUCGAUUAGUCAGUGAAAACUGUCCCAGAAUCCAAGGCUCUGGCUUGACCUGAUACAAACCACUGGUGUGGCUUCUUUCUAGAAAAUUCUAGAAGUGGUUUUUGUUUUCAGGGGGCCAAGUCUAAACAAGGGGAUAACAUAUGCUUCAUAAAACCUAAAGGUAUAAGUGGAGUCAACUUUCAGAGACGGCAGAAGUUCACGGGAGACAGAGUGACCCUGUUCAGGUGGCACGUGAGCCGGUCUCAUGGUGUGGGGCAGAAUUUGGGCUGGUGGGGAGCAGAGAGGGGGAUGGGGCAGAGGAGCGUCAGGAGGGUGGAGUCUCCCAGGGCAGCGGCUGUCCAUGGCUCAUUUUGGUAUUCUCAGGGCCUGGCGCUCCACUCCACUCCAUCAUCCUCCCUAACCCCUGACCUAGGCCCUUGGAGGGUGUGUGGACAAGCAAUUCAGUAGAAGGAAAAAAACCUUACUGAGAAAUGCGCAUAUGUAGGCGUGGGGCCUGACCAUCAGUCUACCUGACGUCACUGUGGGGCCAGGGAGCUCCUCAGACCUUCCUCCAGGUCCCCUCUCUCUGUUUACCCUGUCCCCGCAGGCCCUGGCUCCCUGUCAGUUCUCUCAGUAUGGUUUUCCCCUCCAUGGACUUGGGGUGGGUGUACCAUGGGAGGGAGCUGAGGGUCCUUCAGGUUCAUCGAUGUAAAGCACCCAUAAUCUGGGCGCAGUAGUGCGGGUCUGUAAUCCUGGCGACUCAGGAGGCUGAGGCAGGAGGAUUACGAGUUCAAGGCCAGCCUGGGCAACUUAGCAAGACCCUGUCUCAAAAUAAAAAAAUAAAAAAUGCUGGGGAUGGAGCUCAGCUGUUGUACACCACUGGGUUCACUCCCUAGAACUUCAAAACACACACACACACACACACACACACAUACACACUGACAACUCCUUAUGGCCCAUCUUGGGAACAUUGUUGUGUCCAAAGAGUCUGACUUAAAAAAAAAAUUUUAGUUGUAGAUGGACACAAUACAUUUAUUUUGUUUUAUUAGUUUUUAUGUGGUGCUGGGGAUUGAACCCAGGACCUCACAUGUGCUAGGCAAGCGUUGUGCCACUGAGCAACCACCCCAGCCCCGAGUCUGACUUUUAAAGGUCUCCUCCCUGGAAGAAGACAGGUGAGAGUAGGGAGCAGACGCCACUCUCCUUUGGCUAUUUGGUUUCCCCAUUCAUUCCUGCAGUUGGCCAGCGUUCAAGAAUCUUUGCUGACCAACUCCACGCUUCAUGUUGCUGUUACUCAGACAUUAAUCAAUAAAGGCUGGAGCGCCUGAUGAGAACCUGGUAUUUGCUAGAUGUUGGAUACCGAGCAGAGCAAGGUUUGAAGCCAUCUCUGAGCAGCUCCUGCAAUCUGCAUAGUUAUGGAGUUGUGUUCCCCUGCCCCACUUCACAGAAGCAGAAGUUAAAGUGCAGGGAGGUCUAAUCAACUUAGCGAGACUCCAUUUCAAAAUAAAAAAUAAAAAGGGCUGUGGAUGUGGCUCCGUGAUGAAGCUCCUAUGGGUUCAACUCCCAGAACAUACAUACAUACAUACAUACAUACAUACAUACAUAAAAUAAAGUGCAGGGAAGUUAUCUGAUUAGCUUAAAUGCUGUUGGUCAGUCUCAAGGACACAACAUUAAAACAGGUUUCCUGACUUACUAGAUUUUCUUUAAAAUGCUGCCGCAUACCCAAAUGUCCUUAUAGGAGAGUCAGCAUAUUCAGAACAAAGUGGGAGUCCAAGACACACUCAUUAGCCAUAAAGAAAUGCUCAGUCUAAUUGUGACUGUGCAAGGGACCAUCUGGAACACUUACAGUCUCUCUCCCUCUGUCUCUUUUUUUACGCUUUGAGCUUGAAAGGAAGAACCAAGAAAAUCAGGAGUGGAAGGUUUUUCACAAGGGAUUAAUAAAAUGAAUGCAAAAAUGCAGCAUUUACCUCUAACCUGAUAUUUGGCACUGAACUGUAGGCAUCUGGCUUUGAAUUGGGUUCCCUCCAUGGCCUGAGGUCUGUGUGAUCAGGGACCAGGUCCACUUCCUCUUUGUUGUUUCCGUGCACAGGGGCUGAUAAAUAUCCCUUAAAAAAUAAAACUAAAUAAGAAAGAUAGCCAGGCAGGUGGCCCACACCUGUAAUCCCAGCGGCUCUGGAGGCUGAGGAAGGAGGAUCACAAGUCAAGGCCAGCCUCAGCAACUUCGCGAGGCCCUAAGCAACUUAGCAAGACCCUGUCUCCAAAUAAAAAAAUAAAAAGGCCUGGAUGUGUGGCUCAGUGGUUAAGCGCCCCUGGGGUUCAAUCCCCAGGACCAGAAAAGAAGUAUAAACCUAUGCAGGCAUGGGGCAACUAAAACAGCACAAGUAGGAAAAAUCACUCCUCCCAAAUCUGCUGAGGUGGUGUGUGACUUUCUAAAUACGGGUGCAGUGUGGAAACAGGUAUUCCUGUGCCUGGCUGGCCUGGUUGGAACACUCCCAGGGUUCACUUGCUGUAGGGCUUCUGAUUAUGUCAUUUGGAAAAUGGCUCAGAGAAAGCCAUGGUUGGUGCAUGGUCGUUGUUUGCAAGCAUUCAAAGGUUUGCUGUGUGAAAAGGUAUUAGAUUUAUUUGGGGGCAACGGAGUAGGACUAGUGUUGGUGGGUGUACAUUGUUUGGUUCAGGGAGAAAAGGAGCUGUCACAGGAAAAGGUAGUUUCCUUGGAAAAUUACAUGUUUACUGGCAGAGUUCAGGGAGGGCUGGGUGACUGAAAAUGCCUGUCACCAUGCUUUUCUUUAUGUGUGGGGUGAUGCUGGGGAUUGAAACCAGGAAGUGCUCCACCACUGAGCUACCUAUCCCAUUCUUUUAAAAAAAAUUUAUUUUAAGACAGUCUCACUAAGUUUCUGAGGCUGGCUUCAAAUUUGCAAUCCUUCUGCCUUGGCCUCCCAAGUUGCUGGAAGUAUAGGCUGAGCCACACUGUGUUCAGCUGUCACACAAUGAUUUUUAAUGUUACAAAGGCAGAACCUGGCUGGGAAUCCAAGUUUUCCCCUAAUACCACAUUAUUGGAUAUUAUAAAAACUACCUUUUAAAUGUAACGUUGCUCUCGGGUGCAGGCUGAACUCAAUCUCUGACAGUUACUUGCAGUCAUUGUGUGCAGUUGUGAUUCUCUUAUCACACCUGGGACUGGACUUCACCCCCCUUCCAACCCUCCCCCUCGGCUAAUGAAAAUGGAGUUAAGGGCACUUGCACACCAUGGCCACAAGGUGGCAGCAUCGCCUCAUUGGUGUUUCCUAAGAAGGCUGCCUGGUGUGGGCAACCAGGAGAGAGAGGCUGUUAGGAUCAGGGUACAAAGAAGGGUACAAAGGGUACAAAGAAGGCUGAACAGGCCCCCUCCCCCUCCUGUGAAGUGACAGAAUUGAGAGAUGGGGUGUUGCUCUGUUUACCAGGCUGGCCCCAAACCCAGGGGCUCAAAGGAUCUUCCUGCCUCAGCCUCCUGAAUAGCUUGGACAAGAGAUACAUGCCACCAUGCUCUCAGGCUGAGGUUCUGCAUUUCUAAAAUGCUUUUGGAUCAUGCCAUUGCUGCUGGCUGGAGGACCACACUUUGAAAAGUAAAGCUUUGGAAGUCGUUUGAUUAAUUCUCACUGCACUUGAUUUAUAGAUGGAGAGAAGAAAGACUGGAGAGAGAAUGUAAACUCACCUUCUUGCACUUAAGCCCCGAGCUGCUUAGUCCAGCGAACACUCCCUACAUCCUGAGGCCCCCUUUCCUGUUAGUGCCACCUCCUUAGUUGAGGAACUCAAAACUCCCAUAUUAACCACCCCCAUUCGUCUUUGCUCAAGGUGUCCUUUUGGUUACUCCCUUACUCAGAUUUUUCGAUGGCUCUUCUGAAAUCAAUUACAAGAUCAAGUUCAAACGUC